rnacentral:rRNA from 1 species
GAUGAACGCUGGCGGCGUGCCUAAUACAUGCAAGUCGAGCGAACGGACGAGAAGCUUGCUUCUCUGAUGUUAGCGGCGGACGGGUGAGUAACACGUGGAUAACCUACCUAUAAGACUGGGAUAACUUCGGGAAACCGGAGCUAAUACCGGAUAAUAUUUUGAACCGCAUGGUUCAAAAGUGAAAGACGGUCUUGCUGUCACUUAUAGAUGGAUCCGCGCUGCAUUAGCUAGUUGGUAAGGUAACGGCUUACCAAGGCAACGAUGCAUAGCCGACCUGAGAGGGUGAUCGGCCACACUGGAACUGAGACACGGUCCAGACUCCUACGGGAGGCAGCAGUGGGGAAUCUUCCGCAAUGGGCGAAAGCCUGACGGAGCAACGCCGCGUGAGUGAUGAAGGUCUUCGGAUCGUAAAACUCUGUUAUUAGGGAAGAACAUAUGUGUAAGUAACUGUGCACAUCUUGACGGUACCUAAUCAGAAAGCCACGGCGAACUACGU